rnacentral:rRNA from 1 species
CCCAGACUCCUACGGGAGGCAGCAGUGGGGAAUAUUGCACAAUGGGGGGAACCCUGAUGCAGCGACGCCGCGUGGGUGAAGGAGCACCUCGGUGCGUAAAGCCCUAUCGGCAGGGAAGAAACAGACGGUACCUGACUAAGAAGCCCCGGCUAACUACGUGCCAGCAGCCGCGGUAAUACGUAGGGGGCAAGCGUUAUCCGGAUUCACUGGGUGUAAAGGGAGCGUAGACGGCGACGCAAGUCUGGAGUGAAAGCCCGGGGCCCAACCCCGGGACUGCUCUGGAAACUGCGUCGCUGGAGUACGGGAGGGGCAGGCGGAAUUCCUGGUGUAGCGGUGAAAUGCGUAGAUAUCACGAAGAACUCCGAUUGCGAAGGCAGUUCACUGGACUGCAACUGACACUGAGGCUCGAAAGUGUGGGUAUCAAACAGGAUUAGAUACCCCAGUAG